ensembl:lncRNA
CACAGACCCUAGUGUGGUGUAAGUGGCCUGAGCAAGAGCCACAGACCCUGGUGUGGUGUAAGUGGCCUCAAUAGCAACUAAGGCCCUGGUGUGGUGUAAGUGGCCUCAGCCAGCAGCCACAGGCCCUGGUGUGGUGUAAGUGGCCUCAGCCAGUGCCACAGGCCCUGGUGUGGUGUAAGUGGCCUGAGCAAGAGCCCCAGGCCCUGGUGUGGUGUAAGUGGCCUCAAUAGCAACUAAGGCCCUGGUGUGGUGUAGGUGGCCUCAGCCAGCAGCCACAGGCCCUGGUGUGGUGUAAGUGGCCUCAGCCAGCAGCCACAGGCCCUGGUGUGGUGUAAGUGGCCUCAGCCAGAGCCACAGGCCCUGGUGUGGUGUAAGUGGCCUCAGCCAGUGCCACAGGCCCUGGUGUGGUGUAAGUGGCCUCAGCCAGCAGCCACAGGCCCUGGUGUGGUGUAAGUGGCCUCAGCCAGCAGCCACAGGCCCUGGUGUGGUGUAAGUGGCCUCAGCCAGUGCCACAGGCCCUGGUGUGGUGUAAGUGGCCUGAGCAAGAGCCACAGGCCCUGGUGUGGUGUAAGUGGCCUCA